AAGGUACAGACAUGCCUGGUUCAAUUUAAUAAAUGUGAGCUUGUCCACAUUGGCCGUGGACAGGCGGCUGCGCUUAUCUGUGAUAACCUCGUGUCUGUGAUAACCUCGACAACGCAUUCGGAUGUCUGCCCUAUCAACUUUCGAUGCUAUUUUCCGCGCCUACCAUGGUGACCACUGGUAACGGGGAAUCAGGGUUCGAUUCCAGGGAGGGAGCCUGAGAAACGGCUACCACAUGCAAGGAAGGCAGCAGACGCGCACAUUACCCACUCCCGACCCAGGGAGGUAGUGA
rnacentral:rRNA from 1 species